UGAGCUUCACGGGGCCUGAAAUUACACAUCCUCAAACACUUUGGUGAACAGAAACAGGCAGCACACAACACUCCCCAGAAAUCUGAGUUCUGCCCCUGUAAGAAGGGACGAAGACCCUUCUAAGCCCUGGGACCCGAGAUGCCGCUUCCCGGGGACCCUCACGGGAAAGGCACCUAAAAUUUUCUGCUGGAGGCCCGGUAGGUGACGCUUUACCCGCGGCGUUUGAAUCCGUAGGAACUACAUUACCCUGUCUGCUCUGCGUCUAACUGCUGCCUCGCUGAACCAAUGAAGGCUCAGGACAGAGGCGUUUCCGUGCGUGAUACUAGCGCGGGGCGGGACUUCCGGCGUCUUCCUCCGGGCGGUCAUUUUGGCUGUUCGGGUGUGUUCAUCCGGACGGAAGUUGUGAUUGGUGGGUCGGGGCGUGGGUGACAAGACUGAGAAGGACUCAGAGGAGUAGUUGUCCCCGUUGUAGAAAAGCGAGUCUGAGGCUCGGCCGCGGUGCCGCCCGAGAUGAUCCGUACCAGGGUCGGUAUGAGAACCGCCGGCCCGCUCCCGGCCCCGCUCCGCCCGCAGGCCCGGAUGGCGGCGGCCACGCCGAUGGAGCCGGCUGAGAUACAAGCAGUGAGUCCAAUACAUUCUCAGCAAUAGACUUUCUUCCGGAGCCACAUGCACCAUCCUGAUCCUGGGGCCGGCUCUGUGGCUGAGUGGUUAAGUUCGCGCGCUGCACU